ensembl:lncRNA
GUUAGCAUUUUUAUUCUCUCUCUCUUGCUGAAGAACAUACAACAGUGUUUGCAAUUAAAGGGUUCAACAUGAAAUAUGAUUGCAGGACCACAGGGGUUCAGGGGGAGCAAGGUUCAAGCUAAGCAUCUUGAUAUUUCCAACAUUAAUAAAUAUUACAGGGGUACGUACUGUAUGGACCUCUGUCAAUCUCCUAGAGAGAUCCACCACUCAGAGGGCCCUUGCUUGUGGAGAGUCAGGAACAUGAUUGGCUGAGCAGUUGUGGGAGUUGUCAGGCAGUGGCAAUCCUACAGAGAUCAAGGAGCAGAGGAUAUUUCCAACAAAAUAAAAUGUUUGUAUGACAAAUGGGUCUGGAGAAUUGAGCAGUUGGAGGAGAGGAGAUGCAUCUGCAGUAAUGCCAGAUGCCAUUUCAGCAGUAACUGACGGGGGACUCUUUCUCAGCUGGGUAGAGGUGACUGACACUGUGACUCUUUCUCAGCUGGGUAGAGGUGACUGACACGGUGACUCUUUCUCAGCUGGGUAGAGGUGACUGACACAGUGACUCUUUCUCAGCUGGGUAGAGGUGACUGACACAGUGACUCUUUCUCAGCUGGGUAGAGGUGACUGACACGGUGACUCUUUCUCAGCUGGGUAGAGGUGACUGACAC